UACGUAGGAUGCGAGCGUUGUCCGGAAUUAUUGGGCGUAAAGCGAACGUAGGCGCCUGGUAAGUUUGGUCUUAAAGACCGGGGCUCAACCCCGGGAAUGGACCGAAUACUGUCAGGCUGGAGUACGCUAGAGGAUGGUGGAAUUCCAAGUGUAGCGGUGAAAUGCGUAGAUAUUUGGAGGAACACCGGUGGCGAAAGCGACCAUCUGGGGCGUUACUGACGCUGAGGUUCGAAAGCUCGGGGAGCAAACAGG
rnacentral:rRNA from 1 species